AAUCAGUAUUCAAUGGAGAAAUCAUAAAGUAUUUUUAUUCAUAACGUGAUAAAUGACUGUAAAAGUUAAGCAAAGGACAACCAAAGGUUCAUUCGGGAUCCAAGCAACAGCCUUCAUUGAGAAAGAGCAGAAUCAAGGAUUAAAAGAACAGAAGUCGGGAACAAAUUCUUGUCAAACAAAGAAAUACAUUUUAUAUCGUUUCAAAUACUUCGCAUGACGUACACAAUAUCACUUGAGAACAACUUAAAACAUAAAUGAAUGUCGACCAUCGAUAAUCGCUAAAGAAUACACUGGGAUGCGAAUUCCGAAGAUAGGCUAUUGUGAACGAUUUGAUUGCAGCAUUCUGUCUAUACGCAUUCACCUCAGAUUCGGAAUAUGUGACCGCGACGCCAGCGAAUCUCCAAUCUUUCACCGGUGUAAGGUGGAAAUUGGAUAAAGGGUCUUCUUUUAUUCAAUUUAUUUUUUACUUUUGUACUUCAUGGAUGUAAAAACACCCAGACGAGCGUGAUUCAUUUCACGGUACCUUCUCCCUUUUCUAUUUGACUCUCAAAUUAAAUUACCAUUCCCAUUGUCUUCAAGAAACUUGCUUAUGACUUAGAGCCGAGAAACUGGUCCCAGUUUGCUUCAGGAUGACAAGCGGUGUUUGAGAAUCAUUUUCAUUCGCAGUAGGCUUACUGAGUGUAUACCGUACAUUGAAUCAAAACAAAAUAUAAAUCAAAGAUGGCACCGAAGCUUCUGCGACCUUUGACCUACGCCAUCAUCUCCAUGGAUUCUCUCAAACGUUUGGUGCGAGGAUGGAGGAAAAUGUACCCCUGUCUUGUGGAGACCAGCAUUGACAUCGUCAUCCUGAUAUCUGGGGAUGACGAUGAAUCUUGAGGGACACAGUAUUACCCAUGAACGAGUAUCUCAAAGGAACACUCCAUUGUCAAUUAAUAGUUUGACUAGUUAAGUGUCGGCUGUCGGUUUUCUACAAGUGAAGUCUGUUAUUACAUGGAUUCAGUUAUUUUUUAAUUAAAAAAAUUAACUUUGGAUACAAUGUGCGUUUCUUAUUCUACAAAGGAUUUGGCCAAGCUUUCAUCUCAACUACACACCCCAAAGUCAUAGUUCGUUGACAUGAUCACACAUUGCAUGGUAAAGUGGAUCACCAAACGCAGCGCUGUUUCUGUCAAAGGAUGUACCUCGGUGGUCGGGAAAGAGCUGAUGGCGCAAUCAGUACACUUUUCUUAGGAUAAGAAUGCUUAGACAAGAAAUGGACAUGGGGUGACAGG